ACUCAAAUGAAUAGACGGGGACCCGCACAACCAGUGGAGCGUGUGGUUCAAUUCGAGACGAAGCGAAGAACCUCACCAGGACUUGACAUGCAAGCGUUCAACUUUAGUGAAAGUUAGAGUGUCCGCAAGGAGGCUUGCACAGGUGCUGCAUGGCUGUCGUCAGCUCGUGCCGUGAGGUGUUCCCUUAAGUGGGGAAACGAGUGCAACCCCCAUCCAAUGUUACAUAUUCAUUGGAGACAGUCCCGCCUUAUGGCGGGAAGGAAGGAGGGGCGGACGUCAAGUCAGCAUGGCCCUUAUGUCCUGGGCUACACACACCCUACAAUGGCGAAUAACAACGGGUUGCAAGCCGGUAACGGCAAGCUAAUCCCUAAAAUUUCGCCUCAGUUCAGAUUGAGGGCUGAAAUUCGUCCUCAUGAAGUCGGAAUUGGUAGUAAUCGCGGAUCAGCAGGUCGCGGUGAAUACGUUCUCGGGUCUUGUACACACCGCCCGU
rnacentral:rRNA from 1 species